AAUAUUGCACAAUGGGCGAAAGCCUGAUGCAGCAACGCCGCGUGAGUGAUGAAGGCCUCCGGGUUGUAAAGCUCUGUCUUCUGGGACGAUAAUGACGGUACCAGAGGAGGAAGCCACGGCUAACUACGUGCCAGCAGCCGCGGUAAUACGUAGGUGGCAAGCGUUGUCCGGAUUUACUGGGCGUAAAGGAUGCGUAGGCGGAUACUUAAGUCAGAUGUGAAAAUCCCGGGCUUAACUUGGGAACUGCAUUUGAAACUGGGGAUCUAGUGUGCGGGAGAGGAAAGUGGAAUUCCUAGUGUGGCGGUGAAAUGCAUAGAGAUUAGGAAGAACACCAGUGGCGAAGGCGACUUUCUGGACCGUAACUGACGCUGAGGCAUGACAGCGUGGGGAGCAAAC
rnacentral:rRNA from 1 species